rnacentral:misc_RNA from 1 species
CAGAGAAACUCGCCCGCAAGGGUGACUCUCCAACCCUAUGUUAAUUAUACCUUUGUUGCUUUGGCGAGCCGCUUCGGCCACCGGCUUCACGCUGGUGAGUGCUCGCCAGAGGACCCUAAACUCUUGUUUAAUAAUGUCGUCUGAGUACUAUAUAAUAGUUA